UCCGGUUUGGCACCGGCAGUCCCCCUAGAGUUCCCGGCAUGACCCGCUGGCAACUAAGGGCGAGGGUUGCGCUCGUUGCGGGACUUAACCCAACAUCUCACGACACGAGCUGACGACAGCCAUGCAGCACCUGUGCACCGGUCCCGAAGGAGGGCCCCCCUUUCAGGGGGCUUUCCGGCGCAUGUCAAGCCCAGGUAAGGUUCUUCGCGUUGCGUCGAAUUAAACCACAUGCUCCACCGCUUGUGCGGGCCCCCGUCAAUUCCUUUGAGUUUCAGCCUUGCGGCCGUACUCCCCAGGCGGGGCACUUAAUGCGUUAGCGCCGGCACCCGGGGGGUCGCUCCCCCAAGCACCUAGUGCCCAUCGUUUACGGCGUGGACUAC
rnacentral:misc_RNA from 1 species